CCUACGGGGCGCAGCAGUGAGGAAUAUUGGUCAAUGGCCGGAAGGCUGAACCAGCCAUGCCGCGUGAAGGUCAGUGCCCUAUGGGCGUUAAACUUCUUUUGUGCGGGAGCAAUAAUGGUCACGUGUGGCCAGACGAGAGUACCGUACGAAUAAGCAUCGGCUAACUCCGUGCCAGCAGCCGCGGUAAUGCGGGGGAGGCAAGCGUUAUCCGGGUUUACUGGGGUUAAAGGGUGCGUAGGCUGUGAGGUAAGUCAGCGGUGAAAUGCCCCCGCGCAACGGGGUGAAGUGCCAUUGAUACUGCAUGGCUGGAAUGCGGAUGCCGUGGGAGGAAUGCGUGGUGUAGCGGUGAAAUGCAUAGAUAUCACACAGAACACCGAUUGCGAAGGCAGCUCACGAAUCCGCGAUUGACGCUGAGGCACGAAAGCGUGGGUAUCAAACAGGAUUAGAUACCCGAGUAGUC
rnacentral:rRNA from 1 species